CAAACAGUUGUUUUAUGAAAAUCAGCUGCUUCAUAAAAAUAGAACAGACCUAUUACGUGUGUUCCUGUACCCAAAAAUUUGUGCAAUUUGGUAUUGGAAGUCUUUCGCGUUCUGUUGGCAAUAAAAACUAUUUUUGAGAGUAAAUUUUCAAUUCAGUACGAUUUAUUAAAUUAACUUUAAAUUGUUCUCACAAUGAGAUAUUUUUCUAACUGACGUGUAAAAGAAAUAACAGACAUAUAUUCAAGUAUUUUUUCAAAGCAAGACUUAACGUAGGGUGCGAACUGAAGAAAAUGUUGCAGCUGUAUCGGCCAGUGUUAAUGAUGACCAUCAAUUAUCGACAGGUGUGAAGUCUUUCAAAGUACAGCGGGUACAAGAAUUGAAGCCGAACGACCUACCGCAACGCAGAAUUUUUGGGAAAUGGGCUCUUGGAAAGUUGACCGAAGAUCCACUUUUUUUAUCGAAAAAUUGUGUUCAGAAACGAAGAUCAUUUUUGAAUCAAUGGGCACGUAAAUAAGCAGAAUUGUCGAUUUUGGAGCGAAGAUCAGCCAGAAGCAUUGCAAGAGCUACCAAUACAUCCAGAAAAAGUCAAAGUUUGGUGCGGUUUUUGAGCUGGUGGCAUCAUUGGACCGUACUCCUUAAAAGAUGAUGCAAAUCGUAACGUAACUGUGAAUGGUAAGCGCUACCGUAAAAUGAUAUCCAACUUUUUUUGCACCCAAUGCAAGAGCUUGACUUGCAUGGCAUGACACGUCUAUACAGAUAAGCCCGCUUCAAUUGACGCAUUGAAAGAUAACAUUGAAGCAUUUAUUCGUGAGAUACCAGCCGAAAUGUUGAAAAGAGUAUGCCAAAAUUGGACUAAGCGGACAUUUGAUGCACAGUCAUACCCAACAUUUGCAUGAAAUAAUCUUAAAACAUUAAUUUAUAUGGACCGUACUAUCGAUUCAAAUAAAGAUUUCAUGAUUUUUUUUUUUUUUGAAAAACUUUCCUAUAGCUCCUAAAAAAUCACCUACAAUGCGAACACUCUUAUACAUUGGCUUGCACAAUCCAAAUAUUAUUAGUUAAAUUGAAAACACCGAUAUGUAGAAAUUAUUGGCUGGAACAUGCUUGAAAUAAAUUAUGUUAUCAUAUGCAAA